GGUAGGGGAGAGGAAUUUAUCUCUUUCCCACUGCCCCCACACCAAAUAAGUAAUUCAGGGAUUUAUUGAUUUCCCGACGAAGGAGGGGAACGGGGUUGGUUUCACGAAUUUGCACUAGUUUUACAAGGAUGACUUGUGGCUAGGGGUGAAAGGCCAACCAAGAUUGGAUAUAGCUAGUUUUCCACGAAAUCUAUUUCAGUAGAGCGUGCAUAUAACAUGGCCUGAGGUAGAGCACUCAAUGGGCUAGGGUGGCCCAAAUCUUUACCAACCCCAAGGAAACUUCGAGUACAGGCUUAAUCAAUCAUACAGACAGACUUUGGGUGCUAAGAUCUAGAGUUGAGAGGGAAACAACCCAGAUCGUACUAUAAAGUCCCUAAGUAAUCACUUGGUGGAAAAGGAAGUGAUCGAGCGAUGACAACCAGGAGGUGGGCUUGGAAGCAGCCAUCCUUCGAAGAAAGCGUAAUAGCUCACUGGUCUAGCUCCAUGGCACCGAAAA
rnacentral:ncRNA from 1 species